UCACCUCCGCUACUCACUGCUCGCAUCUCACUCCUGCUCCCGAGCGCCCACAAGCACGCGUAAGCACCGCUUCCGCCCAAGCAAACGCGUUGUGCGUGCCAGCGAGUGUGUCUCCGCUCCCCCUCCCUCGUUGCUCGCCUAGUUUGUUUUAUUCUGUCUCACUCUCCCCUCUUGCGGGCCACACCUGCCACAGCUGCGGGUAGUCCAUCGUCCGCGUACGUUGGGGUGCGUGCGUGUACGCGUGCACGUGCGUCCGCUGCGUUCUAUCGUCUUACUCAUCCCACCUCCUCACACACACACACACACACACACACACACACACCAUCUACAGUGCAUCCACGCAUCCCUUUAUUCAGGUCACCAGACCCCCCUUCCGUCCGCCCCUCUAGCGAGCACGUAAGGAAUCAUAUCGCCAAUAUCGUGUCUACUGCUCCAUCUCUCGUACCGCUCCUCUCCUCGCGUGCGAGUUGCCUGUGCGUACUAGUGUGCAUCUCUGUGUCUGUGCCUACGGGACUGUGUACUCCACUCCUGCUGUGACGGUGGUGUGUGCUGUGACGUCCUCCUGCGACGCACCUUCUUCUGUUCUUUCUCGUUUCCUUGCCCUUCCUCUCCGUGCACUCUCGCUCUCCCCUCUUUCUCUUCGAGUUGAGCGGACUUCGCGUCUGUCUGCGUGCGUGUGUGUCUGCCUCUCCUCCUCUCUCUGUCGCUGCUCUUCUUGUCGUUGCUGUGGCGGCUGUGGUUUCUCGGCUCUCCCUCACACGCACAUAUCUCCCCUCCUCAUCCUCCUCCACGCAUACAGGCCCGAGGGCCUGUAUAGCUGCAUCCGAUCAGAUACCUAUUUCUCUCUCGCUCUCUCUAUAUACACGUACAUAUACAUCCUCUUGUUUCCCCUUGCCUGUGCGCCCAACCGACACAGCUUCUGUGUGGCUCCUACCCCUUCUUCUCUUCUCGUUGGGCGUGUGUGUGCCUCUCUCUCCUUGCGCGUCUAUCGACGUCUCGCUGUUGCGCUUCUUCCUGUUAUUCGUUGCGUGCGUCUUUUCGUGUCUGCCAUUGUUUGCUUGGCUGUGUGUGUGUGCGCGCCUUCCUCACCUCCCUCCCGUCCUUCCCCUCAUCUGCCGCCCUCUUUCGGUUGUCCCUCUGUUUUGGUCUUCUGGUGCGUGCGGGACUGCCGGUCUCUCACGCUGCGGCUCUCGUCCCCUCACCAUAG
rnacentral:misc_RNA from 1 species